AUGACCGAGAUCCAGCACUCCGACCUGGGGGAGAAGGCGAGCCUCGUCGCAGCGGCGGCGGCGGCCGGGGAGGAGCACGAGCGCCACACCAGCGACCUCCUCCGCCGCCGCGCCAUCCGCCUCCGCCGCGCCGAGCUGAGCAAGCUCGGCGAGGACCCGGAGAGGGACCGCAGGGACCGGGAGGCCACGCUGAUCAUGCUCACACUCCUCCUCGCGCUGGCGAUGCCGAUCCUCCUCUGGCUCUCCGCCGGCGAGGCGCCGGCGCCGCUCCUCGUGUGGAGGCUCUCCCUCCUCCUCUCCACCUACUUCUUCCUCUGCGCCAACGUCCUCUUCGUCACCAAGAGCUUCUGCGCCAUCGUCGUCGACGUCUACUUCGGCGCCCUGCUCGCCUACUACGCCGACCACGUCUUCGGCACAAGAAUCGGGACGGUCACAAUCUACCUCAACUCCAUCUUCACCGCGGCCUUCGCCGGCUACGCCCUCGCUGAGCGCCGCCGGAGCGACGGCACCGAGCAAUCCGCCGACAACGUCCCCGCCUUCGCCGACGAGGAGGAGGAGGAGUACGCACGCGCCGUGCUCAUCUCGUCGGCGGCGGUGAUCUCCAUUACUUUGCUUUUUCCUACCGCCUAUGUUUCUUGGAUGAUUUUGUGGCCGUACGCCACCACUGAUGAUGAUGGUUUCCGUGUGGAGGAUGUUCUGCGUGAUCUUUCUUAUACCAUCUUGGCUUAUCUCUUCUUCGCGACCACUUUGGUCACGCGGCACCUCUUGCGAGGGGCUCUUCUUGGAGAUGGGAGAUUUUACGUUUUUCUCGUCGUGUUCUCCAUCAUCACAGUUUUACCUUUGUUUUUCGCUGGUAUUUUCGGCGAUAUUGCUGGGAUCGUCGUGAUUUGGCUCGGUAUUAUAGCGCUCGCUGUCUUGUUUGGAUAUUCCGUCAGCAUUUACUCUUACUACACCCAGAUUCAGACGAUGAGGAGCAGCCAGCCACCGUCUGAGAAGGCGGAUGCAGCGAAGCAAGAGCUUGAUGAGAUCAGCGGGGAUAAGCUGGAGCACUCAUCUUCCCCAGCAGCAUCAACCCACGUUCACAGCAACCCGCAUUCAUCUGCAUCCUCGUCAGCUGAGGGCGUAGCGCCGACGCCUGCACCGGAGUACCUACUACCAGUAGCCAGGAAAGCUGAGAAGAACACCCAUCUAUCCAAGGUUGCUUUUGGUGUUACGAAGAAUUGGACGAGAGUGUUCGACUGUUUUGGAGGUGAAACACUGGUGAUCGACAUGGGCUCAUCAUAUCUCAAGACCUGUAUGUUCGUGUUCGUGCUGGGGAUUAACAAGGAUACCAUUUUCGUCAUCUAUGACACUAUUUUGUGCCUGUUUACUGCAAGAGGAGCUAGUGACUGCUGUGAAAAGCGCAUAUCAGUGCUAAGAAUCUGUCAUUGAUUAAACGACA
rnacentral:lncRNA from 1 species